rnacentral:rRNA from 1 species
GAGUUUGAUCCUGGCUCAGAUUGAACGCUGGCGGCAGGCUUAACACAUGCAAGUCGAGCGGGGGAGAUUGCUUCGGUAAUUGACCUAGCGGCGGACGGGUGAGUAAUACUUAGGAAUCUGCCUAUUAAUGGGGGACAACAUCUCGAAAGGGAUGCUAAUACCGCAUACGCCCUACGGGGAAAGGCAGGGGAGUCACUUGUGACCUUGCGUUAAUAGAUGAGCCUAAGUCGGAUUAGCUAGUUGGUGGGGUAAAGGCCUACCAAGGCGACGAUCUGUAGCGGGUCUGAGAGGAUGAUCCGCCACACUGGGACUGAGACACGGCCCAGACUCCUACGGGAGGCAGCAGUGGGGAAUAUUGGACAAUGGGGGGAACCCGUGAUCCAGCCAUGCCACGUGUGUGAAGAAGGCCUUAUGGUUGUAAAGCACUUUAAGUCGAGGAGGAGGCUCCUGUAGUUAAUACCUACAGAGAGUGGACGUUACUCGCAGAAUAAGCACCGGCUAACUCUGUGCCAACAGCCGCCG